rnacentral:rRNA from 1 species
GUGCCAGCCGCCGCGGUAAUACGUAGGGGGCAAGCGUUAUCCGGAAUUACUGGGUGUAAAGGGUGAGUAGGCGGUUAGAUAAGCCACAUGUGAAAUCCCAAGGCUCAACCAUGGGACUGCAUGAGGAACUGUUUGACUAGAGUACAGGAGAGGUAAGCGGAAUUCCUAGUGUAGCGGUGAAAUGCGUAGAUAUUAGGAAGAACACCAGUGGCGAAGGCGGCUUACUGGACUGAAACUGACGCUGAGUCACGAAAGCGUGGGGAGCAAACAGGAUUAGAUACCCUGGUAGUCCACGCUGUAAACGAUGAGUGCUAGGUGUUGGGGUGAGAACCUCGGUGCCGCAGCUAACGCAAUAAGCACUCCACCUGGGAAGUACGAUCGCAAGAUUGAA